rnacentral:lncRNA from 1 species
CCCCUUUUACAAUGUGAAGGUCUCCUUUAUAUAGUAAGAGACCUUCCUCGAAAUAAUCAAAAAAUACAAAAGUAAGUAGCUUCUUCUUAAUGAAAACGCUGAGUCUUAAACAAUGUCACUUUUAUCUCCAUGUCCAAGUCAUACCCUUGCUUUAAUCGCCAUAUACUCACUGGGCUUACCCAUUGGCAUAGAGACGUUGAGGAUCAAAUUUGACCCUAUACAGUUGUAUAUCUUCUUCCUGAAGUCCAAACAAAAAAAAAAUAAAGGCAUCAAGUAGUAUAAUAGAAAAUAAACAUAAAAAGCAUUUAGUAUGCCUGAUAUGGCAUAAAGGAUUCACUUGGAUAGUCAAAGCUUCUUCCUUUAUGCUCAAUCUCACAUCAUUGAAUUCCAUAUCAGAAUCAAUUAGCAAUCUUUCAAUUUCUCACAAGAUUCACAUAUGCCAUCAAGAGAAAAAAUAUGAGAGGAAAAUCCUAUGGGGAUGAAUUCGUAUUCGCACGCUAUACGAUAAAGACCUCGUGCAAAAAUAUAACAAGAUCACCAUAAUCGUAUGGUAGAAACCUCAUGCUUUAUCCAAAUUAAUCCACUCAACAUGUCCAAAUGUGUAAUAAUCAUAACAAUUCGAAAUAAUUUUCCAUCUCUACGGAUGCGUACACUCACAAAUAAUUAAAAGAUGCAUAAGGCCACAAUAAUAUAGGUGUGGAUGUGUGUUAAAGAUAUAAAUCAUAAUUAUGGAUAAAUCGGGUAUAUCAAUGAUUUCACGAAUAGCUUAUUAUAGCCAAUUAAGAUGUAGUAAUCCUAAACAUUGUUACUAACUAAAAGAAUAAGCUCCCGUAAUCAGACAUUUGGUUAAAAUAUUAAUCAUGGAAACCAUACAACCAAACAAGGCAUAAUGGAAGGCUAAUCUAACCCAAUCACGAAUAAUCCAUAGCACUCGUAUAUGCACUUGUCACCUUGUUACUCCCCAUACAUUUAAAAAUCAUCUCUGGAGGGCACAAAUCUAAUAAAAUAAUACUUAUUAAGGUCCAAUAAAAAUAUAAAAAGUUAUUCCAAUCAAUAAAACUUUAAUCUUUAUUCAAAUAUCGAAAGUCCACUCAGACCGACAUGGUCAAAACCCAAGUUUAGGGAUGGAUCCCAUUUACCCAUAAUUUUAUGAGUCUAGAUAUAAGAUUAAUUAUGUUCCAAAUAUGGGUCUAAAUUGGUGUUUACACCCCCAAAAAUACUCUAUUGAAUUGUAGAUAAAUACCCCAAAUUUCAUUUAAAAUUUCAUAUUUUACUUUAUUUCUAGGAUUAGCUAGGGAUUCUAUGCCUUGUACAUUUUACUCAAUACUCCAGUGGAGGCUUCAUAAACUUGGCUUUAUGGUUGAUCAUGCUACUUUGUGUUAUUUUCAAUACUUCAACUAAUUAAAUUUUUUUGAUCUUAUGAUUACUUUAGAACAUAUGCAUAAAGUUUAUAAGACGUAAAAUUAUUUGCUUUCUUUUAAAGGUCAUUUGACAUGAUGAUACAAGGUAAAAAUCAAGUUAAGGUCCGAUCAUGCCAAUAAAGUCGUAUCAGUAAAGUCUUAUCUAUGAGUAUGUAGAAUGCCACACUUAUAUAAAGGAGAAUAAAAGCAUCUAAUAAAUAGUUUUCACUCUUUCUACUAUAGAUCAUAUGAUACAGUGUAACAUUAAGAAUGUUUCUAAUACAUUUGUUUUCCUGAGUUUGCAGAAAUGACUUGUACUAGCAACUUUUGUAAUAAUUCUCUAACCUUCGCUACUUCGCCAAUCCUGCUACAUCUACAACUAUUAAAAAUCUCAUUAGCUCUUACUACCCCUAUUAUUUAUAUUAUAGUUAUAAAAAACUAAAAAAAAAUUGAAAACCUUACUUAUAGAAAGUGAAUGUGCUCAAGCAUGCAAAGAAAGUGGAUCAAGAGGAGCAGGAUGUUUAGAACCAAGUACCAGCACUAACCUCGAGUUUGUUAAGUGGAUCAGGUCCAUUAGAGAAGCUAUGGAGAUGUUUACCAUCUUCGUGGCUAAUCAAAGAUAGAGAGGAGAUGGUAC